rnacentral:lncRNA from 1 species
AGCAGAUUACAAGCUCAUUCCUAGCUGAUCAUGAGAGUAUGUUGAAGUGUUUUUAAUGUCGUCUAAAGUCUAAUCGGCUUAUUUAACUCGUAGUAAGCUAAUGAGUAAUCUGCUUAAGCCGUCUUACUUACAUAUCUUCAAGGCUCAGAACAUGCAUCAACUCUCUGGAAACGCAGCAACUCUCUGGAAACGCAGAGGCUUCUACCUUGAAACAGAAUCCAUGUUGAUUCUCCCAACGUGCUGUCAAUGAUUUUACUUCUUCCAUUGGAGUGAGAUUUGAGGCACAGCCAAUAUGGGUGAAAGGCUUCAAUCUUUAUUAGACUUUAUUAGGCAAAGAAAUACCCUUAGCGAAGCCGUUGCUCUUUGAUUCUCCGAAACAAACCAACCGGACAGAAUCUUCAUUAGUUUUUUUCGGAAAAAAAUAAACCGUUGGCGCAGGCAUGGCUUUUAAAUUUUCCGAUGCCAAGUGAGAAUCGAAAAGGAAAAAAAAAAUAGCCGUUAGCUCCGUCGAGGUUUUCUGUUGGGACUGCCUUCGAUUCCCGAUCUAAUUAGGUUUGCCUUCUCUCCGAUUCCCGAUCUAAUUGGUACUGCCUUCUCUCCGAUUCCCGAUCUAAUUGGUACUGCCUUCUCUCCGAUCCCUGAUCUAAUUGGGACGAUCCAAGAAACUAUAAAUAAAACUCUGUUUCACGCCUUCACCCAUACAUACGUCUUCAAGCUUUCCUCUGCUUCUCUCUUUGAGCCAGCCGUGGUCCGCACGCCUUCACCCAUACGUCUCGAAGAUUUCCUCUCUGCUCUGUUUCUCUCUUUCAGGCAGCCAUGGAUGCAUGGUUGAAUCUUGUCCGUGGCAACAAUUCGGUGCACCUCAGGGUCUU